CUUUCGGUGGGCGCGGGGCGGCGGGGACUGAGCUACCGCGUUUCCUCAGAGGGACUGGACCGGGACUGGGACCGGGACCGGCCUCAGCCUCUCCUGGCGCGGCCAGCGAGAAGCCCUGCGUCCUUCAGGCGCAGCAAACCGCUGCUGGUGGAGGCGGCUCCACAGCUGCGCCUUCCCCCGCCAUGUUCUGGCGAGGCUCCCUCAGGGCCGGUGCCGCUUCCCCCCGGCCCCGGCGCUGAGCGGCUGCGGCGGGAGGAACCGAGCGAGCCUGGCAGUUGACAAAAAAUGAAGUGACCAGAGCAGGAUGGUGUGAGUUCAGAAAUGCAGGGUGAUCCUUCAGGAGGGGGCUGCCCGAGAAGCUUCAGCCACCUUUCUAACUAGGCAGACCAGAGGUGAGCUGCAGUGCCAGGGGGUGCCAGCCCUGCCCAGAUUAUGCCUUGAGCUGCAGAAUGUCUGACAAACUGAGAACUGCUUGGCAGCAUCCACGUCUGAUGGCUUGGAGAUUCCUAAAAACUUGAUCAUCUGUGUUUUCUCUACAUGGUUAAGAAGGAUUUAAAUAAAAAAAAGCCUAAAUAAAGAUGCCACCUACAAGACUGAAAGGA